GUGGGGAAUAUUGGACAAUGGGCGAAAGCCUGAUCCAGCCAUGCCGCGUGUGUGAAGAAGGUCUUCGGAUUGUAAAGCACUUUAAGUUGGGAGGAAGGGUAGUAACCUAAUACGUUGCUACUUUGACGUUACCGACAGAAUAAGCACCGGCUAACUUCGUGCCAGCAGCCGCGGUAAUACGCAGGGUGCAAGCGUUAAUCGGAAUUACUGGGCGUAAAGCGCGCGUAGGUGGUUCAGUAAGUUGGAAGUGAAAUCCCCGGGCUCAACCUGGGAACUGCUUUCAAAACUGCUGAGCUAGAGUACGGUAGAGGGUGGUGGAAUUUCCUGUGUAGCGGUGAAAUGCGUAGAUAUAGGAAGGAACACCAGUGGCGAAGGCGACCACCUGGACUGAUACUGACACUGAGGUGCGAAAGCGUGGGGAGCAAACAGGAUUAGAAACCCGGGUAGUCC
rnacentral:rRNA from 1 species